rnacentral:lncRNA from 1 species
UUCUGCACUCUUGUUUUAGAUUGCGGUGGGUACCUAGCACGCUCCUGCACGCAGACUCUCCGGUCUGCGCUCCAAAAGAGAUUACUUCCGGCGCGAACGUCAUCGUUCCAUAUGCGACUGCUAUUGCUUCUACGUUCUCUCGCCGACGGCGUCCUGCUGGCAGACUGGACUUGGCCUGGCGCCCUUGCACUUAAUUUUGGUUCCCAGUGUUUGCUGUCGCUUGUGGCGCAAGAGAAAUGUUCCAGCACGCCCAUUUACAAGAACAUGCCUGGCCUUGCCUCACGAGCAACCAUCUUCAGCCCGAUCGUCCUGCCGCGUGCUCUCUACAACAAGCUUCCUCAUGAACUCGUGAGCGCGUCGCACGCCUGUCUUGGCGGUGUCCUGCACUGUGUUGACGGCGUGUUCAUGCUCUGAAGGACUGCGUGUCGUCACCGUCCCGCGACCGUCUAUCCGAUGUGCUCCUACAGUUCGCUGUUGCCCUUUUCCGCAGGCAUAUUUAAUAAGUUUAGUGUAGCAAG